GUUGAAUUCUAUAAUGCCUUUUCGAUGGGCUUUCUUGCAAGCUUAUUUUUUGAGACAGUUCUACUGUAAGAGCCUGGUAACUCUUUCCAUAUAACUGGGCUUGAAGGCAGAUGAUUGUUUGCUGUUAGACGGCAUUAGUUCAGGGGUUUGGAGUAGCAACUAUUUUCCUCUUCAACAAUUAAGAGACUGGAAAAGCCCUUGAUGCUUUAACCUUUAUAUAAUCCAUCUGCUUGAGCUGAUAUCUUGUCAAUUCCAUGUAAAACUCGCCUGCAAAAGGUAAGAGAAAUCAUUUAACUAACAAUAUCACGAGGCAAGAGUCGUAAUAUAAUAUUUUCUGAUACAUAAUUACCAAGCUCUAUUACGCUCCUGUGGAUACAAUCUCCUCUACCAACACAAAUAAGCUCGCAUUUUCUAAUUAGUUCUUUGUUGUACUUGUGAUGAAGUAAGAUGUUUUUAUAAAGUGCAGACCGCAGAUAUUUGACUAUAUCUGCGCAACUGAGCUGUUUGUCGAGUAGAUACUAAAAUGCACCAGAAGUACAAUUUUGUGUCCUAUUCCCUGGAGGCUGCAAAUAUCAGUAGAGGGUUCUCAGCUUAAAUUGUUAAAUACCCGGUUCCAGGCCAAUGAGGAAAACUUUCCUGUAUGAUCAUUCAGCACCAGCAGUUUGUGUAAGAGUGAACAGGGUUCCCGGCGGUUUUUUGCUGUGCUUGCACACCAAGUUGCCCUUUGCUGAAAGCUCCGCGGCCUGCAGGACCACCCUACCACUAGUCUUCUGCCAAAAUGGUUAAAUUUUAAGAGAAUGGUUUGUUUGUAUAAUCCAAUACAACUUCGGCUUUUUUUUAGUUCUUUUUCCUUAUGGAACAAAUCAAAUUAGACUAUUUUUUCAUGUCUGCUAGUAUCGUCCAAAUUUUCUGCAAUUUAUUGUUUGGUUAUUGAUUUAAGAAUGCUGAAUGAACUCUUUUAUUUGUACUUGGUA